rnacentral:rRNA from 1 species
CCUACGGGAGGCAGCAGUAAGGAAUAUUGGACAAUGGACGAAAGUCUGAUCCAGCCAUGCCGCGUGCAGGAUGACAGCCCUACGGGUUGUAAACUGCUUUUAUACAGGAAGAAACACUCCGACGUGUCGGAGCUUGACGGUACUGUAAGAAUAAGGAUCGGCUAACUCCGUGCCAGCAGCCGCGGUAAUACGGAGGAUCCAAGCGUUAUCCGGAAUCAUUGGGUUUAAAGGGUCCGCAGGCUGUUUUUUAAGUCAGAGGUGAAAUCCUGCAGCUCAACUGUAGAACUGCCUUUGAUACUGGAAAACUUGAGUUAUUGUGAAGUGGUUAGAAUGUGUGGUGUAGCGGUGAAAUGCAUAGAUAUCACACAGAAUACCGAUUGCGAAGGCAGAUCACUAACAAUAUACUGACGCUCAUGGACGAAAGCGUGGGGAGCGAACAGGAUUAGAUACCCUGGUAGUCCACGCCGUAAACGAUGGAUACUAGCUGUUCGUCUAACAUUGGUUAGAUGAGUGGCUAAGCGAAAGUGAUAAGUAUCCCACCUGGGGAGUACGGUCGCAAGACUGAAACUCAAAMGAAUUGACGG